rnacentral:tRNA from 1 species
UGGGGCUCAGCUGGUAGAGUGUUUGCCUAGCAUGCAUGAGGUCCUGGGUUCAAUCCCCAGCA